UAUACGCGAGAAACCUUACCAGGGCUUAAAUGUAGGAUGCAUUAGUUAGAGAUAGCUAUUUCUUCGGACUUCUUACAAGGUGUUGCAUGGCUGUCG
rnacentral:rRNA from 1 species